GAUGAACGCUGGCGGCGUGCUUAACACAUGCAAGUCGAACGAUGAAAGCGGGAGCUUGCUCCUGCUGGAUUAGUGGCGAACGGGUGAGUAACACGUGAGUAACCUGCCCUUGACUCUGGGAUAAGCGUUGGAAACGACGUCUAAUACCGGAUACGACCUCCGAAGGCAUCUUCUGGGGGUGGAAAGAAUUUCGGUCAAGGAUGGACUCGCGGCCUAUCAGCUAGUUGGUGAGGUAACGGCCCACCAAGGCGACGACGGGUAGCCGGCCUGAGAGGGUGACCGGCCACACUGGGACUGAGACACGGCCCAGACUCCUACGGGAGGCAGCAGUGGGGAAUAUUGCACAAUGGGCGAAAGCCUGAUGCAGCAACGCCGCGUGAGGGACGACGGCCUUCGGGUUGUAAACCUCUUUUAGUAGGGAAGAAGCGAAAGUGACGGUACCUGCAGAAAAAGCACCGGCUAACUACGUGCCAGCCGCCGCCGUAACAC
rnacentral:rRNA from 1 species